GUAGGUGGCAAGCGUUGUCCGGAAUUAUUGGGCGUAAAGCGCGCGCAGGCGGUCCUUUAAGUCUGAUGUGAAAGCCCACGGGCUCAACCGUGGAGGGUCAUUGGAAACUGGGGGACUUGAGUACAGAAGAGGAAAGCGGAAUUCCAAGUGUAGCGGUGAAAUGCGUAGAGAUUUGGAGGAACACCAGUGGCGAAGGCGGCUUUCUGGUCUGUAACUGACGCUGAGGCGCGAAAGCGUGGGGAGCAAACAGGAUUAGAUACCCUGGUAGUCCACGCCGUAAACGAUGAGUGCUAAGUGUUAGGGGGUUCCGCCCCUUAGUGCUGCAGCUAACGCAUUAAGCACUCCGCCUGGGGAGUACGGCCGCAAAGGCUGA
rnacentral:rRNA from 1 species